rnacentral:rRNA from 1 species
UACGAAGGGGGCUAGCGUUGCUCGGAAUCACUGGGCGUAAAGGGUGCGUAGGCGGGUCUUUAAGUCAGGGGUGAAAUCCUGGAGCUCAACUCCAGAACUGCCUUUGAUACUGAAGAUCUUGAGUUCGGGAGAGGUGAGUGGAACUGCAAGUGUAGAGGUGAAAUUCGUAGAUAUUCGCAAGAACACCAGUGGCGAAGGCGGCUCACUGGCCCGAUACUGACGCUGAGACGCGAAAGCGUGGGGAGCAAACAGG